rnacentral:rRNA from 1 species
GAUGAACGCUGGCGGCAGGCUUAACACAUGCAAGUCGAGCGGGGUGAUGGUGCUUGCACUAUCACUUAGCGGCGGACGGGUGAGUAAUGCUUAGGAAUCUGCCUAUUAGUGGGGGACAACAUCUCGAAAGGGAUGCUAAUACCGCAUACGUCCUACGGGAGAAAGCAGGGGAUCACUUGUGACCUUGCGCUAAUAGAUGAGCCUAAGUCGGAUUAGCUAGUUGGUGGGGUAAAGGCCUACCAAGGCGACGAUCUGUAGCGGGUCUGAGAGGAUGAUCCGCCACACUGGGACUGAGACACGGCCCAGACUCCUACGGGAGGCAGCAGUGGGGAAUAUUGGACAAUGGGGGGAACCCUGAUCCAGCCAUGCCGCGUGUGUGAAGAAGGCCUUAUGGUUGUAAAGCACUUUAAGCGAGGAGGAGGCUCUUUUGGUUAAUACCCAAGAUGAGUGGACGUUACUCGCAGAAUAAGCACCGGCUAACUCUGUGCCAGCAGCCGCCGUAAUAC